AGAGUUUGAUCCUGGCUCAGAUUGAACGCUGGCGGCAGGCCUAACACAUGCAAGUCGAGCGGUAGAGAGAAGCUUGCUUCUCUUGAGAGCGGCGGACGGGUGAGUAAUGCCUAGGAAUCUGCCUGGUAGUGGGGGAUAACGUUCGGAAACGGACGCUAAUACCGCAUACGUCCUACGGGAGAAAGCAGGGGACCUUCGGGCCUUGCGCUAUCAGAUGAGCCUAGGUCGGAUUAGCUAGUUGGUGAGGUAAUGGCUCACCAAGGCGACGAUCCGUAACUGGUCUGAGAGGAUGAUCAGUCACACUGGAACUGAGACACGGUCCAGACUCCUACGGGAGGCAGCAGUGGGGAAUAUUGGACAAUGGGCGAAAGCCUGAUCCAGCCAUGCCGCGUGUGUGAAGAAGGUCUUCGGAUUGUAAAGCACUUUAAGUUGGGAGGAAGGGCAGUAAAUUAAUACUUUGCUGUUUUGACGUUACCGACAGAAUAAGCACCGGCUAACUCUGUGCCAGCAGCCGCGGUAAUACAGAGGGUGCAAGCGUUAAUCGGAAUUACUGGGCGUAAAGCGCGCGUAGGUGGUUUGUUAAGUUGGAUGUGAAAUCCCCGGGCUCAACCUGGGAACUGCAUUCAAAACUGACUGACUAGAGUAUGGUAGAGGGUGGUGGAAUUUCCUGUGUAGCGGUGAAAUGCGUAGAUAUAGGAAGGAACACCAGUGGCGAAGGCGACCACCUGGACUAAUACUGACACUGAGGUGCGAAAGCGUGAGGAGCAAACAGGAUUAGAUACCCUGGUAGUCCACGCCGUAAACGAUGUCAACUAGCCGUUGGAAGCCUUGAGCUUUUAGUGGCGCAGCUAACGCAUUAAGUUGACCGCCUGGGGAGUACGGCCGCAAGGUUAAAACUCAAAUGAAUUGACGGGGGCCCGCACAAGCGGUGGAGCAUGUGGUUUAAUUCGAAGCAACGCGAAGAACCUUACCAGGCCUUGACAUCCAAUGAACUUUCUAGAGAUAGAUUGGUGCCUUCGGGAACAUUGAGACAGGUGCUGCAUGGCUGUCGUCAGCUCGUGUCGUGAGAUGUUGGGUUAAGUCCCGUAACGAGCGCAACCCUUGUCCUUAGUUACCAGCACGUCAUGGUGGGCACUCUAAGGAGACUGCCGGUGACAAACCGGAGGAAGGUGGGGAUGACGUCAAGUCAUCAUGGCCCUUACGGCCUGGGCUACACACGUGCUACAAUGGUCGGUACAGAGGGUUGCCAAGCCGCGAGGUGGAGCUAAUCCCACAAAACCGAUCGUAGUCCGGAUCGCAGUCUGCAACUCGACUGCGUGAAGUCGGAAUCGCUAGUAAUCGCGAAUCAGAAUGUCGCGGUGAAUACGUUCCCGGGCCUUGUACUCACCGCCCGUC
rnacentral:rRNA from 1 species